CGCUGGGGCUUCUUCUUCUGCAAUAAUUUCGCUCAAACUUCUUUGUUUCACAUUGCAUAUUCCAACACCUCAAAUGGGUACACUUCACUUGUCUCACUUGCUUUCUUGUCUCACUUGCUUUUCAAACUGCAUCAAAACCAGAAUGUACAUUCACAGCCAAAAAAAGAAAAAAAAGAAAAACACAACCUUUGUGGAAGUGUUUGAUUCAUUAGAUGUUUUGAAAGGAGGGGUUUUCUUCAAAAUUGGACCUUUUGUUCUCCAGGCUUUGUAAUUGUCACCAGAGAACCAACAUUGAUCAGAAAAUUAGCAAUGUUUUUUACGCAAGACACUGUAUGCUUUCUAAGGAAAUCUACCCUGAUGGUGGGCCAUUACAUGCCUCACCUGAUGUACUACAUCACUCUUGUCUUGGUUGAAGUAUUUGGC